GACGAACGCUGGCGGCGUGCUUAACACAUGCAAGUCGAACGGAAAGGCCCUGCUUUUGUGGGGUGCUCGAGUGGCGCACGGGUGAGUAACACGUGAGUAACCUGCCCUUGACUUUGGGAUAACUUCAGGAAACUGGGGCUAAUACCGGAUAGGAGCUCAUGCUGCAUGGUGGGGGUUGGAAAGUUUCGGCGGUUGGGGAUGGACGCGUGGCUUAUCAGCUUGUUGGUGGGGUAGUGGCUUACCAAGGCUUUGACGGGUAGCCGGCCGGGGCGGGUGACGGGCCACAUUGGGACGGAGAUACGGCGCAGACUCCUACGGGAGGCAGCAGUGGGGAAUAUUGUACAAUGGGCGGAAGCCUGAUGCAGCAACGCUGCGGGGGGGAUGACGGCCUUCGGGUUGUAAACCGCUGUCGCCUGUGACGAAGCGUGAGUGACGGUAACGGGUAAAGAAGCACCGGCUAACUACGUG
rnacentral:rRNA from 1 species